rnacentral:misc_RNA from 1 species
AUAACGAACGUGGAAGAUCGCCAUUAUCGUUUUUUCUCGAGGAAUCGGCGAGAUUUUAGGUAAAUUUCAAGCUAUUCGAACGUAUGAAACAACUAAUCUAACUUACUAAGAAAUUAUGGCUUUAGAUACUUCAAAAAAAUCUCAAGUUCUCGACAAAAUAUUAAAGGAUGUCAAGUUCGAACGCCGCAGAUACGGAUGCGGAGGAUAUGACAUCUGUGGAGGGAACGGUUGAUGCGACCUUAAUGGAUUCUAUGCAAGUUAUAUAUUCUGAACAUCCAUUUACAUCCGUUAAAGAAGAGGUAAACACAACCUAAAGAUUAAUUCAUUUGAAUUUUUGUAGAUAUUUAAUUUCGAAAUUUGUUUCAAAAUCUGGCAAAACAAUUCAAGGACUAAAUUAUUAAAGUUAAUCCAGCCUAACUAGUAAAUUUUUAAAGAGAUGAUUAAAAUAUCAUGGGUGCAGCAGGGAUUAACUGUAUGUUUUACUUCUAAAUAGUUUUUGAUUAGGGCCCAUUGACAACCAUUUAUGAGAUUUGGAAGAGGAAUAGCUUGAAUUUGCUUUAUAUUUGUAAAGCAAAUUCUUUCUUCGUAGUCAUUCACUAAGUCAGAAAGAUUAUGCUUAAUUUUAUAAUAGCAUUAAAAUUUCCAUAUAAAAAUUAUGAUAUUAAAAAAAAUAUUCCGUUUUAUUAGAAAAUUUUAAAUUCUGAGACAAGAAGUAAAUAAGUUUUCUUUUUAGCAUAUCGAAUUACCUUCCAAGAGAAUGCGGCUAUCUGAAGAGCUCACGGCUGAAGCAUCUAUUAAAAGUUUAUUGUACACAAUUCAAAAAACUUUAAGUAAUGUUGAAAAGAAGAUAGAUAAUUUAGAAAGAAGAGUUGAUAAACAGACUAAUGCCAUAAAAUUAUUAGAACAAAAAUUUGAAACGUCUCAACCCCGUCAAGGUGUCUACAUGAAUCAAAAUAUAAGUAAACCGACAACGUCUCAAAAACGCUCUUACGGGAGUUUGCCGAGUUCACCCACAUCUCCAUCGCCGGAAGUAACUAACCCGGCUGAUGCAAAUGUAUCGCAAAAUGUAACUCUCAUCACUCUAAAUAACGAAUCAGACUAUCCUAAUGGAUCAUGGCUCGGUGAUGAAAAUAAUCCGAAUCUACGAGUAAGAACACCUGUUACACCAGCUAAUUUAUUGCAUGUAAAUACAAACUGUAGAUCAGCUGAAAAAAUGGCACUUACACUGCUGGACUAUUUAUUUGAUAGGGAAACGCAGGCGGUCAGCAAUUUAUCGGGUAUGGGAAAGCACGGAAAAAAACAGCUGGAUCCUUUAAUGAUAUUUGGUAUAAGGUGUCAUUUAAUUCACAAAUUUAGUAUAUCAGAAGGCGAUUGGCAUCGAAUUAAACAAAAUAUUGAUUCUAAGUGUCGAACUGCAUUCAGAAGAAGAAGUAAAGGAAUGCCAUUAACUGUAAAAGCUUUCAAAAAUCGCCCCAACACCAACUCAUCUUCUUCAGGGAAUAACACUACAUAUGUUACAAAUGAAUCUAGUGACUUAAAUCUUGGAAUUGAAGGUGUAGAUAUGGUUUCGUCACCUAACAGUGAAAUUCAAGUUUUCCAUGCUACACCUGAACAAUUGGAGGCUUUACGAACUGGUCAAAUUCAAGUUGUUCAGCAAACUGUUGCAAAUAAUGAUGAUGUCCAGAUUUCAGCUGUACCUUUAACACCCGAUACCUUUCGAAUAGUUCAUGCAGAAGCUUCAGAUGGCGUCUCUGCAUCAGAAUAGUAGCAAAAUUUUUACUGAUCUCGGGUAUUUCUGUUCUCUUAUAAGAUGUUGAUUCAUAAUAUAUCACAAAAUGCUUGAAAGAAACAUUUUUGUACAAUUUGCUCGUAAAUUUUAAAGUUAUACCAACACAAUGUGCUUACGUUAAUUAUUAUUCACAUUGUAUUUCAGCACCUGUAAUGUUUCCCUAACGCAUGUUAUAUGUGUUUUGAACUAAUUGCAUUCUGUGCAAUUAGCUGUUAAUUUAAAUUUCCGCUUGCAUGCCAAAUCUUGAUUGAUGGUGAUAAUUUUUUUUUAGCUAAAAGACCAAUUAUUUACAGCUGUGCAAUGUGUAGACAGAUAAAGUAUUUUUUUAAGGCGUUAUUGUAUACUUUUAAGAUAUUUAAGAGUAGGAUGUUUUGUUCUUAUGGAAUUAAUGUAAAACUACUGAAAAGUUAUUUUUAAUAUUAUAUACACCUACCGUUUACUAUUUUGAAUUCAAAACAAGCAAUUUUAUUCUUAACUUAUAUGCAAUAUAUGUAUAUACAACAGAG